rnacentral:rRNA from 1 species
UGCAGUCGAGCGGUAGCACAGGAGAGCUUGCUCUCUGGGUGACGAGCGGCGGACGGGUGAGUAAUGUCUGGGAAACUGCCUGAUGGAGGGGGAUAACUACUGGAAACGGUAGCUAAUACCGCAUGACGUCGCAAGACCAAAGUGGGGGACCUUCGGGCCUCACGCCAUCGGAUGUGCCCAGAUGGGAUUAGCUAGUAGGUGAGGUAAUGGCUCACCUAGGCGACGAUCCCUAGCUGGUCUGAGAGGAUGACCAGCCACACUGGAACUGAGACACGGUCCAGACUCCUACGGGAGGCAGCAGUGGGGAAUAUUGCACAAUGGGCGCAAGCCUGAUGCAGCCAUGCCGCGUGUGUGAAGAAGGCCUUAGGGUUGUAAAGCACUUUCAGCGAGGAGGAAGGCGUUGCAGUUAAUAGCUGCAGCGAUUGACGUUACUCGCAGAAGAAGCACCGGCUAACUCCGUGCCAGCAGCCGCGGUAAUACGGAGGGUGCAAGCGUUAAUCGGAAUUACUGGGCGUAAAGCGCACGCAGGCGGUUUGUUAAGUCAGAUGUGAAAUCCCCGAGCUUAACUUGGGAACUGCAUUUGAAACUGGCAAGCUAGAGUCUUGUAGAGGGGGGUAGAAUUCCAGGUGUAGCGGUGAAAUGCGUAGAGAUCUGGAGGAAUACCGGUGGCGAAGGCGGCC